rnacentral:rRNA from 1 species
GAUGAACGCUAGCGGCAGGCCUAACACAUGCAAGUCGAGGGGCAGCACAGAAACAGCAAUGUUUUGGUGGCGACCGGCGGACGGGUGCGUAACGCGUAUGCAACCUACCUUUAACAGGGGGAUAACAGAGAGAAAUUUCCACUAAUACCCCAUAACAUCGAUCAAGGCAUCUUGAUUGGUUGAAAACUCCGGUGGUUAAAGAUGGGCGUGCGUUGUAUUAGGUAGUUGGUGAGGUAAUGGCUCACCAAGCCUACGAUACAUAGGGGGACUGAGAGGUUAGCCCCCCACACUGGUACUGAGACACGGACCAGACUCCUACGGGAGGCAGCAGUGAGGAAUAUUGGUCAAUGGGGGCAACCUUGAACCAGCCAUGCCGCGUGCAGGAAGACGGCUCUAUGAGUUGUAAACUGCUUUUAAACAGGGAUAAAGCACAGUAUGUAUACUGUGUUGAAGGUACUGUAAGAAUAAGGAUCGGCUAACUCCGUGCCAGCCGCCGCCGUAA